rnacentral:snRNA from 1 species
AGUGGGUCCAGGGCGAGGCUUUGCCAUUGCACAUCAGCUUAGCUGACCCUUGCGAUUACCCCAAAUGUGGGUAACUCGGUCGUAUAAUUUCUGGUAGUGGGGACUGCGUUCGCGCUAUCCCCGU